UCCGUGCCCAUAAGCAUAAUUAUAUUAUACAACGCGAACUUCGUGCGUGUUACAAUUAAAAACAACAACCUUAGUUAUAUAUAUAGGCUUCUCCAAAUUAAAUCAUCAACCAUGCAUAUGGUGCUGCCGCUGAUUCCGUUAGCACUUGCAGUAGUAUUUGGAGGAUCACAAGUUGCUGUAGGUACUGCGGCAACUGUUGGUCUUGCAAAGGAUCAUGGCAAGAAAAAAGACUGUGAAAAUCAGAAGAAGUAACGGGGAGGAGCUGAUAUAUACAGUUAUACACAUGCAUAUAUAGAUAUAUAUAUAUAUAUAGUUAGGAGCUGAUAUAUACAGUGAUCACUCCCGCUUGCAUGUGUUAAAAUAUGUAAGCCAGUGUAGCAGUCAUGCUAUGAUAUAUACUAUGACUUAAUAAUAAUAAUAUAUUAAUUUUCAGUAA